rnacentral:rRNA from 1 species
GGCUCAGAAUCAACGCUGGCGGCGCGCCUAACACAUGCAAGUCGCACGAGAAAGCGGGAGCAAUCUCGCAAGUACAGUGGCGUACGGGUGAGUAACACGUGGAUCAUCUACCCUGGAGUGGGGAAUAACGCUGGGAAACCGGCGCUAAUACCGCAUAUUCCCGAGAGGGGAAAGCAGCAAUGCGCUCGAGGAGGAGUCCGCGGCCGAUUAGCUAGUUGGUAGGGUAAAAGCCUACCAAGGCUGUGAUCGGUAGCCGGCCUGAGAGGGCACACGGCCACACUGGCACUGAAACACGGGCCAGACUCCUACGGGAGGCAGCAGUGGGGAAUCUUGCACAAUGGGGGAAACCCUGAUGCAGCGACGCCGCGUGAGCGAUGAAGCCCUUCGGGGUGUAAAGCUCUUUCGGCAGGGAAGAUUAUGACGGUACCUGCAGAAGCAGCUGCGGCUAACUACGUGCCAGCAGCCGCGGUAAUACGUAGGCAGCAAGCGUUGUUCGGAGUUACUGGGCGUAAAGGGUGUGUAGGCGGCCUGUUAAGUUCCGUGUGAAAUCUCCCGGCUCAACCGGGAGGGUGCGCGGAAAACUGGCGGGCUAGAGUGCGGGAUGGGAGAGUAGAAUUCCUGGUGUAGCGGUGAAAUGCGUAGAUAUCAGGAGGAAUACCGGUGGUGUAGACGGCUCUCUGGACCGCAACUGACGCUGAAACACGAAAGCGUGGGUAGCAAACAGGAUUAGAUACCCUGGUAGUCCACGCCCUAAACGAUGCAUAUUUGGUGUAGGUCAUUCAGUUGAUCUGUGCCGGAGCUAACGCGUUAAAUAUGCCGCCUGGGGAGUACAGUCGCAAGGCUGAAACUCAAAG